rnacentral:lncRNA from 1 species
UCGUGGAGCUCAUCGAAUACUUUUGUACAUUUGCUUUGUAACUUUGUUUGCAUGAGACUCAUCAGAUCGAGAAAUCACACUCAAGUUUGUUCAUUUGCUUAUAUGAGCUCAUACCAACAUGAAAGCGACAACGAUGACAAAAACUUAUAUGCUUAUUGGUUAAUUUAACUUUACCAUGCCUCAUCGAAGUUUGAUUCACAGCGGCAAUUUC